UUUUUCCUUCUACACCCCCGCCUCCCUUUCUUUCUUUCCUUCGACCCGUCCCGCACGAUCUCCUCUCUCCCCAACGAACCGCAGCGCCGCCGCCCCUGCCUAGCGCUCGCUCGUGAUGCCUCUCCUCCUCCUCGUCUCACCCCCACCGCCGCCGAUCCUUCCCCGUCCACCGCCCUGUACCGUACGUGCGAGCAGGUUAGGCGAGCAGGUCAGGUGGCGGCUCCGAGAUCCGCCAAGGGCAUGGACCUCAAGCUCCAUCUCCAUGGCAGUGGCUCCCAGAUCCGCCCAGGGGCUGGACCUGGAGCUCAUCUCCUCCAUGGCGUCGGCUUCCUGAUCCGUCCAUGGGUUGGACCUGGUGCUCCAUCUCCAUGGCGAGUUGGCUGUAUCCCCACGUCUGCUUCUGCUCGGCCGACGACGCCAUCCGCGCGUGCUUCUGCUGCUCGUAUAGGUAAGGCAAUCUGUCGAUUUGCUGUUCUCCCCUCGGCUUCCCAUCCUUUUCCUUACGUGUCGUGUCUUCCCUCCUCACGCAGGUGCACGCACCACCGGUGCUCCCGGAUCGAGCAGGUGACGCAGCGGCCCUCCCAGAUCCACGAGGAGCUGCAUCUGGCUCGUCCUCGCGGCUGUCGGCCACGUCCUCGACAAGGGUCACAUCUGGCCGUGACCAAGUGAGGCCCCGGAUCUGCACUCACUAGGAGGGGGCGGCGGCACCGAGAGGAUUCUCACGCAGCCGUCUUCCACCUUCUUCGUCCGGUUCCAGGUACUGACAUUCCCCCCUCCCCGCACACAUCCUGCACCUGCUCUUGCUUACUCUGAUCCUCCCAUUCCGCUUUUGGUUGGGGCGUUCCGGUACUGAUCCAUAUGCAUGCGUUAAUUUGUAGCUGUGCACGCGACAUGGAGCCUCAUCUUCGAGCUGCUUGACCUCAAGGGCGAGGUGGAUGACGACGCUCUGAUUCUUGUGUGAUGUUGCCAAUAGCAAGAUGUGGCGGAUAACUUGGUAAUCAUUACGCCAGUAGUCAAUAGUCGAUUAGUCGAGCGACUGCUAAUCAUCUGGUGGCCUUGGACUUGUGAUUGUGGUGUCGUGCUCUGACUAGUGGCAUGAUUUACACACUAUGGUAAUUUUAGGUUUAGGGAAAUAUGUACUGUUGCUCCUGAUCUAACCAAUUGGCCACUAUCCAGUUAUCCUGGUAUGUGUAUGGAUGUGUUUAUGUGGAUUUGGUCUAAUCUGUCUCCUGCUGUUGAUCUACUGGUCCAUGCUCUAGUUCUAAUUCCUCUAUUUGUUAUUUAUUAGGUUUGUACUGGUAGCUUGUUAGUUUUCCCUCGUGUGCUUGAAAACAUGCAAGCAGAGAGAUAGAGAGAGAUUCCUUGAUGUAGCAGGCCAGUAGCUACUUUGUCUCAGAUUUUACCUGUCUUUAUCCGUAUCUCAGUUAGAUGCACUACUGCUAGUUCAGCUGAUGUGAAUAAUAUUUUACUCAUUUUUGUAGAUCAUCUUCAUUCGAAGCAAAAUAAUAGGUUGACUCAGGCAGUCUUUUUCCGCUGCAACAGCCAUGCACAGAUGGUUCUGCCCGGUGGAUGCAGUUUCAAUUCUUCCAAUUUCCACGUGCUAGCGUUCCAAUGUCAAGUACUCCCUCCGUCCCAAAAUAAGUGACUCAACUUUGUACUAGCUUUAGUACAAAGUUAGUACAAAGUUGAGUCACUUAUUUUGGGACGGAGAGAGUAUAAUUCUUGAACUGCAUAAGUUAAACUAUGUUAGUUCCAUGAUCAACUUGUAUAUGCAGUCCAAGCCUUCUAAAAUGAUUGCCUUUACUGUCCAUGUCUUGAUGUGAUUUGUUCUUAAAUCGGUUUGCUAGAUAGAUCCAAACGGUGGUUUUGUGUACAAUAGUUUUGCAUUGUAUGACCUAAAUUAUGUUGUCCAUCCGCAUGUUUGACUUGUCAUUUAUGUGGAAGUUUGAUGGUAACAUUAUAAGUUGUGUAUGCAAUGGUACUUGGAAGGCUGCACUGCGUAACCAGCUUGCUGUUAGAAUUGUUUCAGUAAUUAAUUUUUCCUUAACUCAGCUCGUUUAAGAUCUAUGCUAGUAUGUGAUCUGCGUAUAGAUAUGAGUUACAUCCCAGCCAUUUUAACUAUGAUUGGUUGUAUUACUUCAGAUUUGACGGUGAAAGUGCAUUUGUUAACUGUAUUCUAAUGCUCUCAUAUGUAAGGAAUGCAUGGGUUAACUCAUCCUUAUUGAUAGAUCCUCUCUUUUAAUUAAUAAUGUAUGCAUGCCUUGUACGUUCUCUGUUCUUUACUAUAUUGUUCUGGCCUCGGGCAAUUAAACAUUGUAUCUGUUUUUAUUGUGAUAUGCAACUCUUCAAAAAAAGAAACAGUAUUAUGGAAUUACUCAUCUGCAUGGAAUUUCUAUGUAUUCUAGUAGUUUAUUUUUGAUACUGUAUUGCUGUAUUCCCGAUCUGAGUUGGACCGAUGCUCGAUUUGUUCCUGUUUCUGUUUUAGUACUAGUACAAUGUAAUGAUUUCAUGCUUUCAUGAAGUAUUUUGCGCUAUUUUUAUCCGUCGAGCAAUUUAGAAGACCUGUAGAGCAUUUAACUAGACAGUUGAAUUUGCAUUUGCAACUAUGCUUGCUUAGAGCAGUCCUUGAAUGGUCAUAUUAUUGCGAUGGCCUGUGCUGUUCUUAGUUGUGCUACAGUAUGUGUUUUGUGUUGUUUGCACUUGUUAGCCAAAUCAUUGCACAUGCAGUGUUAAUGCGAUGUUGCGGGUUUGUGACCUAGGAUUUCAGCCGAAUUCCUGUUUGUACAAUGUAUCUGCUACAUGUUGUUUUCAUCUUGAUAGCUAGCAGCCUAGCACCAUGAACGUUGAUUGUGAAAUCUCUAUAUGCUGUAAAAUUAAUUGGGUCAGUCUUGAACUUGUUGUGAAUUGUAAGAUGCUUUAAGUAAAUGUUUUUUUGCCUUCUUGCGUGUAGGCGGUCAGGCGAGAUAACAAGUAGAGGUUCAGUCUGUUGGAGGAGUAUGGCGAGCUGCUGAUUCGGGCUAACCAGGGGCACACUGUGGCAGUAUGUUUUCUACCUGAACUCCCCUGCACUAAUGUAUUCUGUUAAGUAAGAUUUAAGAUGUGUUUAUACUCUUCAUGAUCAUCUGCCAUGUAGUAACCAUUAUUUUUUGUAACUUCUAAAAGCAUUGUACUAGUUGAAUUUUUGUUAUCAUUCUGAAGAACUUGUCCUUUUUAUUGAAUGGUCUCUUCAUAAUAUAUUGGCUCCAGUUUUCUUAUUCUUCUCUGCUGAUUCAUGUAACAGGGCGAUCGUAUUAGCUCAGUUCAGACUAUGAGCAUGAGCAGGUGCAUUUUCUUGUUUGUAAUGCUAUCGAAGGAGCUCCAUCCUGAAGAAUAUAGUGCUUGUAGAGCUUGUAAAUUAGUUACUCCACUUGUAAAAUUAUUUGUAGAGUAGAAGCACCAUUGUAUUGUGUGUUAUUUGUAGAGCAGGAGCUCCAUAUUGAAUUUGGCUCUACUAAAUCUGGCUGUUGUUAUUUGAAGUAUUAUUAUAUGUGUUUUUUGUCGGUGCCAAUAAUAUUGGUUAUUUAUUUACUGUGAGAAUGAAAUGAGGAAUAUGGCCC
rnacentral:lncRNA from 1 species